rnacentral:lncRNA from 1 species
UGAAGAGAAAUCAAGGCAUAUGUACACACAAAGACUUGCAUAUGAAUGUUCAUAGCAGCAUUAUUCAUAAUAGCCAAAAGGUAGAAACAGCCCAAAUAUCCAUUAACUGGUGACUGGAUGAACACAAUAUGGUAUAUCCAAGGAAUGGAACACUAUUCAGCAAUAAAAAGGAAUGAGAUGCUGAUACAUGCUACAGCAUGGAUAAAUUUCAUGCUAAGUGGAAGAAGCCAGACACAAAGACCACACUUUGUUAUGUAUGAUUCCAAUUUUUUUUAAGUGAAUGAUAGCCUAAGACCAUAUAUGCAAAGGGUAAGUGAGUGAUGCAAAGGUUGAAGAGAGGAUAUGAGUGUGCAGUGUGUAUGUAUGUGUUUUAGUCAAAUCUAAAAUUUUGUUAUAUUUUCAAUUCUACUAAUAAAGCAAAUCAUCAGACAUAGCAUGGUACUGGGCUGGAAGACAAGCACAGUUGAGGAGAGGACCUGCCCAGGAGUAUACAAAGAAAGGUAAGUUUUAGUUCCAGCCUCCAUGGGCUCACAAGUCAUCCUUUUCUGCAUUCCUUUCAUUAACUUUCUGCUCAUCGUCCCUUGACCUGCAGCCUGGACACCUAGGGGUCCUGUGGCCCGGUGGAUUCACUGAGCCUAACUUGGCCCAACACAACACAUCACACAGAACAGUGGCAAUAGAACACAUCACACCUCUCCACUCCCCCAGUUGCAGCUGUCAGCCAGGCUUGCUGGGUCUCCUCCAUUGGGUGACGGAGGCUCUGGGAGAUCAGAUCUGCUUAGCCUGCUGUGGCCUAGCUCCAGCUACCCAUAGCAGAAUCAUAUCGCCUUUCCAUAUCCCUUUGGAGCCAUCCCACAAUAUUCCCUAUGGGUUUUCUCUCAGGAAGGCUGAAGGAAGCUCUGGGAUGUUCGUUUUGCUCUGAUAUACUAUCAACAUUGUCAAAAAUGUUUCUUAAAAAUGAUAACUUUCUACGUAUUUGAGAAUCAACCAGGAACCCUAACCUAAACUUUGUGUAACCCCCAUACUCCAGGGGUACACAUAAAUGAGAAAAAAAUUACUUGUAACAAGUAAAAAGGAAUGAAUCCUCCCAUCUUUGAGAGUCUGAAACUUUUCAACUAAAUAGGAAACAUAGUGGAGAUGGGCAUGAAGUCCCCUUGUUCUCUCAUAUCUCUCUAUAUCUCAGGGCGUUGUAGAAAGCAGACUCAAAAUAAAUGCUUAUUGGAUUGAUUCAUUCAAAAGAACCAAUAAGUACA